AAUGAACGUUGGCGGCGUGGAUUAGGCAUGCAAGUCGUACGGGCCGCAAGGCCAGUGGCGCAAGGGUGGGUAAUGCGACGGUAACCAACCCCAUGGGUGGGUAUAGCCGCGGGAAACUGCGGGUAAUCCCCAGCGAAGCAAAGCGAUCGGCAUCGAUCGUUUGCCAAAGCUCCGGCGCCGUGGGACGGGCCGUCGUGGUAUUAGGUAGUUGGGGGGGUAACGGCCCACCAAGCCGACGAUGCCUACCGGGCGUGCGAGCGUGGCCCGGCACACUGGGACUGAGACACUGCCCAGACUCCUACGGGAGGCUGCAGUCGAGAAUCUUCGGCAAUGGGCGCAAGCCUGACCGGGCGACGCCGCGUGGAGGACGAAGGCCUUCGGGUUGUAAACUCCUGUCGAGGGGAAAGAAGGUCCGCAAGGACUUGACUGAUCCCUGGAGGAAGCACGGGCUAAGUUCGUGCCAGCAGCCGCCGCUG
rnacentral:rRNA from 1 species